rnacentral:rRNA from 1 species
AUACGGAGGGUGCAAGCGUUAUCCGGAUUUAUUAGGUUUAAAGGGUCCGUAGGCGGGAAUAUAAGUCAGUGGUGAAAUCCUGCAGCUUAACUGUAGAACUGCCAUUGAUACUGUAUUUCUUGAGUUUAGUCGAGGUAGGCGGAAUGUGUAAUGUAGCGGAGAAAUGCUUAGAUAUUACACAGAACACCGAUUGCGAAGGCAGCUUACUAGGCUAUAACUGACGCUGAUGGACGAAAGCGUGGGGAGCGAACAGGAUUAGAAACCCCAGUAGUCC